rnacentral:rRNA from 1 species
GGACCCGCACAAGCGGUGGAGCAUGUGGUUUAAUUCGAUGCAACGCGAAAAACCUUACCUACUCUUGACAUACUUGGAAGCUCUUGUAAUGAGAGUGUGCCUUUUGGAGCCAAGAUACAGGUGCUGCAUGGCUGUCGUCAGCUCGUGUCGUGAGAUGUUCCGUUAAGUCGGAUAACGAGCGCAACCCUUACCCUUAUUUGCCAGCGAUUCGGUCGGGAACUAUAAGGGGACUGCCGGUGAUAAACCGGAGGAAGGUGAGGACGACGUCAAGUCAUCAUGGCCCUUACGAGUAGGGCUACACACGUGCUACAAUGGGGAAUACAGACGGACGCUAAGCCGCGAGGUGGUGCUAAUCCUAGAAAGUUCUUCGUAGUCCGGAUUGGAGUCUGCAACUCGACUCCAUG